rnacentral:ncRNA from 1 species
UUGAAAAGGCAAAGCAGUUGAAAAAUUGUGACGCAAAGCUAUAGGGUCUGUAAAAUGACAGCCAGUUACCAA